UACGUAGGGUGCAAGCGUUGUCCGGAAUUAUUGGGCGUAAAGAGCUCGUAGGCGGUUUGUCGCGUCUGCUGUGAAACUCGGGCUUAACCCGGCCUGCAGUGGUACGGCAGACUAGAGUGCGGUAGGGAGACUGGAUCUGUGUAGCGUGAAAUGCGCAGAUAUCAGAGACACGUGCGAAGCGCGACCUGGUCUGACUGACGCUGAGCGCGAAAGCGUGGGGGAGCAAACAGAUGAGACUACCGGUACGUCAGCACCAGAUCUCUCGCUACCGAUC
rnacentral:rRNA from 1 species